GCGUGGGUAUCUGCCUUGUGGUAGGGAACAACCCAGGGAAACUUGGGCUAAUACCUUAUGAGCCCCUUAAUGCCUUGGUAUUUGGGGUAAAGAUUUAUCGCCAUGAGAGGAGCCCGCGUCGGAUUAGCUAGUUGGUGGGGUGAAGGCCUACCAAGGCGUCGAUCCGUAGCUGAUCUGAGAGGAUGAUCAGCCACACUGGGACUGAGACACGGCCCAGACUCCUACGGGAGGCAGCAGUGGGGAAUAUUGCACAAUGGGCGAAAGCCUGAUGCAGCCAUGCCGCGUGUGUGAAGAAGGCCU
rnacentral:rRNA from 1 species